GUCAGGGUGGCCGAGUGGUCUAAGGCGCCAGACUUAAAAACUGGAGGCGUGGGUUCGAAUCCCACUCACGACA